rnacentral:snoRNA from 1 species
AAAUCAGCUGAUGAGACAAAAAACUGCAACAAUAUGAUGGAUACGCUCCAAUUUCCAUGAUUCUUUGUAUUUAAGUCUCUGAUGAUU